AUGUAGUAAUCGAACUAGGAGUUAAAUAAAACAACCAAUCUUUAGCUGAAUCAUCCAAGGAAAAAGGGAACUGUGACAUCCCAAAUACAUAAUUGGUAAAAAAGAGCCAGAGAACAGAAAUAGAUACAAGUGCUAAUAACUAGAUUAAACAUAUAACCAGAAAAUAGGAAUCCCUUAGACAAAAAAAAGUUCACAUUACACUUGAGACUAAUGGUUGACUACCAAAAUAUG
rnacentral:lncRNA from 1 species